rnacentral:piRNA from 1 species
UGAAGUGAGCGCCCUCUGUACUGUGGUC